rnacentral:rRNA from 1 species
CCAAAGGACUUGACGGUGUCCCACCCUACUAGAGGAGCCUGUCCUAUAAUUGAUGAUCCCCGAUAUACCCUACCAUUACUCGCUUACCAGUCUGUAUACCGCCGUCGUAAGUUUACCGUGUGAACGCACAACAGUAAGCCCAAGGACUUCCCCGCCACAACGUCAGGCCAAGGUGCAAUUUAUGUAAUGGAAAGUGAUGGGCUACAAUUUCUAAUAUAGAACAUACGAAAAACUACAUGAAACAUAGUCAUGAAGGUGGAUUUAGUAGUAAAUAAGGAAUAGAGAGCCUUAUUAAACCUGGCCCUGGGAUGUGUACAAACCGCCCGUCACCCUCUUCAAUAGCCUCCAAAUAGUUUAAUAACUCAAUCUUGCACAAUAGAAGAGGCAAGUCGUAACAUGGUAAGUGUACCGGAAGGUGUACUUGGUA